UACGUAGGGUGCGAGCGUUAAUCGGAAUUACUGGGCGUAAAGGGUGCGCAGGCGGUCUCGUAAGCUGGGUGUGAAAGCCCCGGGCUUAACCUGGGAAUGGCAUUCAGGACUGCGAGGCUUUGAGUGCGGCAGAGGGAGGUGGAAUUCCACGUGUAGCAGUGAAAUGCGUAGAGAUGUGGAGGAACACCGAUGGCGAAGGCAGCCUCCUGGGCCAGCACUGACGCUCAUGCACGAAGCGU
rnacentral:rRNA from 1 species